AAUAGAUACCCAGGUAGUCCACGCUGUAAACGUUGGGCGCUAGGUGUGGGGGGCCUCUCCGGUUCUCUGUGCCGCAGCUAACGCAUUAAGCGCCCCGCCUGGGGAGUACGGCCGCAAGGCUAAAACUCAAAGGAAUUGGCGGGUCCCCGCACAAGCGGCGGAGCAUGCGGCUUAAUUCGAUGCAACCCGAAGAACCUUACCUGGACUUGACAUCAUGGGAAAAGCCGUAGAAAUACGGUGUCCGCAAGGGUCCAUGACAGGUGGUGCAUGGCUGUCGUCAGCUCGUGUCGUGAGAUGUUGGGUUAAGUCCCGCAACGAGCGCAACCCUUGUCCUAUGUUGCCAGCGCGUUAUGGCGGGGACUCAUAGGAGACUGCCGGGGACAACUCGGAGGAAGGUGAGGACGACGUCAAGUCAUCAUGCCCCUUAUGUCCAGGGCUGCACGCAUGCUACAAUGGCCGGUACAACAGGCAGCGAAACCCGCGAGGGUGUUAGCGAAUCCUCAAAAGCCGGCCUCAGUUCGGAUUGG
rnacentral:rRNA from 1 species